UACGUAGGGGGGCAAGCGUUGUCCGGAUUUAUUUGGGCGUAAAAGAGCGUGUAGGCGGCCAGGUAGGUCUGCUGUGAAAACUCGAGGCUUAACCUCGAGCUGUCGGCGGAAACCAUCUGGCUAGAGUCCGGAAGAGGAGAAUGGAAUUCCCGGUGUAGCGGUGAAAUGCGCAGAUAUCGGGAAGAACACCCGUGGCGAAG
rnacentral:rRNA from 1 species